GAGGGUAUAGCUCAAUGGUAGAGUGAGUGCUUAGCAUGCACAGGGUCCUGGGUUCAAGCCCCAGUACCUUCA
rnacentral:tRNA from 1 species